AAUUCAUCAGGUCUCUUUUUAGUCUUAUGUCUGAAUUCUAGGCUCUACAUCUGAAUUGUGAGUCUACAGUUUGAGAUUUGGGACUCAGCAUCCCCAGGAUCUCAGCUUUUUCUGGAACUGGCAGGCACCAUGUUCACUGCUCUUCAGACUCCAAGAUGCUACAAGGAAGAGUUACAGACAUUGGCCCUCAAGAGCCAGCAGGGUACCAAGUAAGAAGAUAAAGGGAGACCCUUAAUUCUCUGUCAGAAACGCUUAACCCAACCCAGAAACUAGGAUCAUGACUGUCUGGCCUUUACAUAAAUCACUCUGUGCGUAUCUUAUGUGUC
rnacentral:lncRNA from 1 species